rnacentral:rRNA from 1 species
AGGGAAUAGAUACCCGGGUAGUCCUGGCAGUAAACGGUGCACGUUUGGUGUGGGCGCAAUCGACCGCGUCCGCGCCGGAGCUAAACGCGUUAAACGUGCCGCCUGGGAAGUACGGUCGCAAGAUUAAAACUCAAAGAAAUUGACGGGGACCCGCACAAGCGGUGGAGUAUGUGGCUUAAUUCGAUGCAACGCGAAGAACCUUACCUGGUCUUGACAUGCAUUGUGUCUCCGGUGAAAGCCGGAUAGGGUAGCAAUACCCGCUUUGCACAGGUGCUGCAUGGCUGUCGUCAGCUCGUGUCGUGAGAUGUUGGGUUAAAGUCCCGCAACGAGCGCAACCCCUGUGAUUUGUUGCCACCGGCUUAUGCCGAGCACUCGAAUCAGACUGCCUCGAUCAACGAGGAGGAAGGUGGGGAUGACGUCAAGUCCGUAUGGCCCUUACGACCAGGGCUGCACACGUACUACAAUGCCCAGUACAAUGUGAACCGAGACCGCGAGGUGGAGGAAAUCAAUAAAACCUGGGCUCAGUUCAG